rnacentral:rRNA from 1 species
UACGUAGGGCGCGAGCGUUGUCCGGAUUUAUUGGGCGUAAAGAGCUCGUAGGCGGCUUGUCGCGUCGGCUGUGAAAACUCGGGGCUCAACUCCGAGCUUGCAGUCGAUACGGGCAGGCUAGAGUUCGGUAGGGGAGACUGGAAUUCCUGGUGUAGCGGUGAAAUGCGCAGAUAUCAGGAGGAACACCGGUGGCGAAGGCGGGUCUCUGGGCCGAUACUGACGCUGAGGAGCGAAAGCGUGGGGAGCGAACAGG